CCUACGGGUGACAGCAGUGAGGAAUAUUGGUCAAUGGACGAGAGUCUGAACCAGCCAAGUAGCGUGAAGGAUGACUGCCCUAUGGGUUGUAAACUUCUUUUAUAUGGGAAUAAAACGUUCCACGUGUGGGAUUUUGUAUGUACCAUAUGAAUAAGGAUCGGCUAACUCCGUGCCAGCAGCCGCGGUAAUACGGAGGAUCCGAGCGUUAUCCAGAUUUAUUGGGUUUAAAGGGAGCGUAGGUGGAUUGUUAAGUCAGUUGUGAAAGUUUGCGGCUCAACCGUAAAAUUGCAGUUGAAACUGGCAGUCUUGAGUACAGUAGAGGUGGGCGGAAUUCGUGGUGUAGCGGUGAAAUGCUUAGAUAUCACGAAGAACUCCGAUUGCGAAGGCAGUUCACUGGACUGCAACUGACACUGAGGCUCGAAAGUGUGGGUAUCAAACAGGAUUAGAUACCCGAGUAGUC
rnacentral:rRNA from 1 species